GAUGAAGAACGCAGCGAAAUGCGAUAAGUAAUGCGAAUUGCAGAAUUUCCGUGAGUCAUCGAAUCUUUGAACGCACAUUGCGCCCUUUGGUAUUCCGAAGGGCAUGCCUGUUCGAGCGUCAUUAUCACCCCUCAAGCCCUCGGCUUGGUGUUGGACGGUUUGGUGGAGGCCCCCUCGGGGGUUCCUGCCCCUCCCAAAGACAAUGACGGCGGCCUCGUUGGACCCCCGGUACACUGAGUUCUUCACGGGACACGUAUCGGACACAUGGGUUUACGGGACACGGUCUGCCUCCCCUCAGGGAGAAUCUUUCUAAGGUUGACCUCGGAUCAGGUAGGGAUACCCGCUGAACUUAAGCAUAUCAAUAAGCGGAGGA
rnacentral:misc_RNA from 1 species